ACCCGGGGAAACCCGCGGGAAAGUGCCACAGAAAUGACACGGCCGAUGGCGCGACUGCAGCUGCGUCGCGCACAGGCAAAGGUGAAAUGGUGCGGUAAGAGCGCACCGGCGUCGCGGUGACGCGGCGGCCAGGCAAACCCCGCCCGGUGCAAGGCCAAGCAGGACCGUCGACCCGGCUCGGCGAGGUCCAGGUAGGCCGCAGAGAUAGAUGGCCGCUCACGACAGGAUCCGGCUUACAGGCCCGCUACGGAA
rnacentral:RNase_P_RNA from 1 species